rnacentral:rRNA from 1 species
GAUGAACGCUGGCGGCGUGCCUAACACAUGCAAGUCGAGCGGACAGACGAAGAGUUUGCCUGUCUGACGUUACCGGCGGGCGGGUGAGUAACACGAGUCUGCCUUACCUUUAAGACUGAGAUCACUACGGGAGCCCGGAUCUCACACCCGAUCUGAUGUUGAACCGCAUGGUUCAUUAGUGAUAGACGGUUUUGCUGUCCCUAAUACAUGGUUCCGGGCCGGAUUAGCUAGUUGGUAAGGUAACGGCUUACCAAGGCGACGAUGCGUAGCCGAUCUGAGAGGAUGAUCGGCCACACUGGAACUGAGACACGGUCCAGACUCCUACGGGAGGCAGCAGUGGGGAAUCUUGCGCAAUGGGCGAAAGCCUGACGCAGCAACGCCGCGUGUGUGAAGAAGGUCUUCGGAUCGUAAAGCACUUUUAGUAGGGAAGAACAGAUGUGAGAGAAAAUCUGGCUGUCUUGACGGUACCUAAACAAAAAGCAACGGCUAACUACGUG